rnacentral:rRNA from 1 species
UACGUAGGUGGCAAGCGUUGUCCGGAUUUAUUGGGCGUAAAGAGCGUGUAGGCGGCUAUACAGGUCCGUUGUGAAAACUGGAGGCUUAACCUCCAGACGUCGAUGGAAACCGUAUGGCUAGAGUCCGGAAGAGGAGAGUGGAAUUCCUGGUGUAGCGGUGAAAUGCGCAGAUAUCAGGAAGAACACCCGUGGCGAAGGCGGCUCUCUGGGACGGUACUGACGCUGAGACGCGAAAGCGUGGGGGGCGAACAGG